UCAUUUCCUCUUAUCCCUGUGUAUUAAUUAACCCAGUUUCAGAACUGAGGAAACUGCAACUCAGAAAGGUCAGAUAGCCACUGGCUCCAUGAAGAGUCAGGAAGCUGGUGACAAAGAAAUCGGAGGGCUGGAGGGUAAAAGCAGGCGAAGGUGAUACUCAGAGGAGAAGGACACUGGAGAAGUCAGUCCUGAACCCACCAAUGAGGCUUGCCCUCUCUCACCUGCUGCCAUGUAAGAUGUGCCUGCUUCACCUUCCGCCAUGAUUGUCAGUUUCCUGAGGCCUCCCCAGCCAUGUGGAACUGCUUUUGUGAAGGAAGAGAAGGCCCCUGAACCAUCCAUGGACGGCAGUUAUCAAGUCUACAGAAACAUCAAAUGAAAGUUAUCUUACCAAGUGUUAUCAUCUCUACUCAAAAACUCUACUGGCAAGUAAAUCAGAAGAAAUGGGCUAAAAUUACAACAUGAAAAAUAUAAGUUAGGCAUGCAGGGAAGUUUCCUACCUUAGAGGGUUGGUACAUAUUGUUAAAUAUCUUGAGGUUAGUUGACAGCUUUUCCUUCCAAAUCUGUCUGUGGGGAGUGAUGAGGGAAGGAGAGAAAUGACUGACAUUUAUUGUUAAGAAGGAGCUGGAAGUCUCAUGCAUGGUAUCAUAUUAACAUCACAUAAGCCCAGCCAGGGAUGUAUUAAGAACCUUAUAUAUUCAGAAAAGAAUUCAGGAUUGUUUGAGUUGGAUACAUUAUCCCCCAAGGUAAUACUGUUAGGAAAUGGUGGGAUUGGCCUUAAACCUAGCCUCUGAUGUUCCACAUUAUCACAUUUUGAUUUUUAAGAUAUGCACCUGGAUUUGGAAAGUUUUAUUGGCUAUAGGACAAGCAGGGAGAUAGACAAAGUUAAUGCUCACAAAGUCCUUUUCAAUCCCAGACAUCUGUGAGUCUAUGAUAUGUAACAAAUUAUUUCCUCUGCAGACCCAAACCGUAGGCUACAUUGUACAUAUUUUUUCCUUGUUUUCAGCUGUCAGCUACUUGACUGCCCCUCAUGGCCACUUUUCAAGUCUUGAUUGCCAAGCAUUUAUUUUCUUUUUCCAGUUUGUCUGGAAGACAGAAUGCCUCAGGAAGGGAUUGUUGGGUUUUUCAUAUAAAGCACGUGAAAUAUCUGUAAUUAUGGAUUACAUUUUUGUACCCAAUAUAUGGCUGAAAGGAGUCCUGUGAUAGAAACUUUUAGAAGAUAAUUGAAUGUGUCAGCUGCAUCAAGAAAUUAUGUACUUGCUUCACUUCAACAAACUGUGAUAAAUAGUCUAUUGUCUGGAGAGUUUGCUUGGCAUUUUCUUUUGCGUUACAAAAUUGUGCUAGUCCUUGUCACUGAAUUUUUGGUUAACAACUCAUAGAAACCCUUUGAACUAGAAUUCAUCUGUAGAUACCAGUUACUGUGCAUAGCUACCUGGAAAACAACUGAUUUUAAUAAUUCAACACUUCAUUUCUACCAUUACCCCAGACAAAGAAUAUGUGUCUUUUUUACCAAAUUUACUUGGUUAAAAGUAGGAAAUGUCUUAUGCUGAGUGGCAAUUAGCAUUUCUCCAUCUGAAUAAUGAAGUGAGAGAAAAAGCAUUUAUUCUUUAUUCUUUAUGUUUCCAAUUGUGUCUUUGCGUAAUUGGCUUGGAACAGAAGUAUCUUAUUAAAAUGUACAAUCAAUAGCAGAAAUAGGAUUCCAAGAAGAAGAACAAAACAAAAUAUAGUUGAUAACUUCCUAUUAAACCUCAGCCUUAUAUAGUACGCCCUCACUAAGAAGAAUUAAGCUUGUUUAAAAAUAAAUAAAUCAUAAAAUAUUACUAGUAGAAAAUGGAAAUAAAUAGUGGCCAAAUCUAUACAUAAACUGGAGUGAUCAUUUUUUAAGCUCAAAAGGAGUAGAAGAAAUAACAGAGAGGGAGAUCAGUAGAUUUUUCACAUAGGAUUUCCCUCAAAAUUGCUUAACAGGCAAAUAAACCAGAGGGAAUACUUGCUUCAAAUAGGACAAAGAGUGGUAUCCUUAAUAGAAAAAGAACUCAUGCCAAAAGGUAAUAAAAGCAUUAAGUUCCCAAUAAACAAAGGGGAAAGGAAUGAAGACAAUGAAAUAGAGGCAUAUUAAUGGCUAAUAAACAUUUGAAAAUUUUUCAACCUCACUCAUUAUCAACAAAAUGGAAAUUAGAAUAACAACGAGAUACUAUUUUUAACCUAACAGAUUAAUAGAACUGUAAAAAAUGUGAAUAUUCAAUAUCGGAGAUUGAGUGCAGUGACACAGACACACUCAACACAGCUGGAAGAAAUAUAAAGUGGCUCCAGCCUUUAGGAAAGGAACGUGGCAUACAAUUCAAGAGUCUUGAAAAUAUUCUUACCCUUACCUGGGAAAUUCUCUUUCUGGGAUUCUAUUAAUGGAAAUGAUCUGAAAUGAAGAAGGACUUUUUUG
rnacentral:lncRNA from 10 species